UUAUUGGAUACCACUUUUCAACUAUACCACAACUAAAGGGACUUUUUCAUAAAUGCCUUAUUCAUUAAUGGGUAAAUGACCUAAGUACCCCCUAACUAAAUCAGAGAAAGGGAAAGAGAUAAGGUUUUGGUUCCCCCCCGACGAAUCUCCACGACGGACGGCGAUACUCACGGCGGACGACGAUAGUCACGACGGCGAAACUCACGACGAAGAAGAGAAAAGGUAUUCUCCUUCACGAGUCACAACAUCUCUCUGGAAAAAGCAACUGGUGACGACGAAUCGCGACAAUAACAAUCCCGAUUCAAAAAUCUCAUCUCAAAAAUGUCGUCUUCUCUUCACGAUUCUCCUCUUAGCGAUUCUCUUAUUCACGAAUCUCCUCUUCAUGAUUCUCUACAAGUAAUUUCCUAAAUUUGUGUAUCUUUUUGUUUGUUUCAAGUCAUUUGUUGAAUUUUUUAUUUCUGUUAUAAGAAAAUAGAAUAAGAUUGGCUGAGGAUUAUGUCCCUAGUUAGAUCUAAGAGAAAGAGUAUCGAUAGUGAACAUUGAGUUUUGUUUUGAAACAUUAUAAGCCCUUAUAAAUUUGGGUUUCAAGUAAUUAUAAGAUGUGUGAACUCAAGAAGUGUUGUCUUGUAUUGCAGUUGGAUAGAAACGAGUUUUGCACAACAUUGAGAUUGCCUAUGAGGGUUUAUGAAGCUGGAGAACCACCAGAUAAUUCCAAAGCGAUAAUCCAUCACUCAAAGAUUGAUUAUGUCGAGAAGGUAGCAGAAAUAUUAGGAAAAAAAAGAGUUCUCUUUUGUAGGUUACGUCGUCUACUCCAACAUUCAAUACUCCAAACUUUGAUACAAGGGUACAAAAUUAGUAUAGUUUUAUAAGGCCUUGUAAAGUUUAAUGUAUAUAUCAUAAACAUCUAAUUUUCAAAUAUUUUGUUUGCAGGUUACAUCGCCUACUCCAACAUUUACGUCGCCUAAGUUUGAUCUCCUUUCCCAAGAAAGUCGUAGUGGAAAGGGUACAUAUGAGGUUCUUAUGAGAGAUGUUUGUGAGAUUUCUGAUUUUCAACCUCUAAUGAAAAUUAAAAAGAGAUUGGUACAACAAGACAGCCAGGUAAACGAAGAUAUUGAGCCUCCACUUCAAAAGAAGAUUAAAACUGAUACAGAUAAUGUUCCACUAAGAAGAAGUGAAAGAGGUCAAAUACCAUCCAUUCAUACACAGCCACCGUUUGCAGGAGCAAGGAAGAAACAUCCGAUUCUCCAUCCUUUUGAGCCAGUUGAUAAAACAAGAAAAGAAAAGAUGAGAGAAUGGAAAAUGUCAAACAAAAAAAGUAAGUUUUUAUUUUAUAAAAAACUAUAUAUUUCAUGAGGUGAAACUGGAUACCUACAUAAUAAGUAUGAGUGUACAAUGUAGGAAACUGAGAAUCAAUCAAGAGAUAGUAACCGCAAAGUAGUUCUCAGAUAUUGAAACACCGGGAAAAAAAGCUUUCAAAAACGGUUAGGCUAUAUUUGAACAAAAAUUCUUUAUAAUCCCUUAUAAAUUUAUAUUAAUCUUCUUUAUAAAACUAUAUGAUCGCUUUUCUGAAUAUUUGUUAUUUUGUCCCAGCAUAUUGAAGCAGGUUUGGAGUUGCUGAAACUGAAACAGAUAAACAAUCCAGAUUUGUUUCUGAACAAAACUGCCUUCGUUGUUGGAGUGAAGUUUCUUGAAGAAAUAGAUGAGCUUUAUGAUGAGUUUUUAGAUGACAAGAAAAGUUUCCAAUUUGGAACAGGUUUUGACAAGUACAACAUAGAGAAAAAUAUCAAUUUUCUCUAUUCGGCUAUUGCAGUAGAAGAAAAGUAUUGGCUUGGAGUUGUAGUCAACUUGGAGAAGAGAAGUACCACAUCAUUCAAUUGUGCAGCAUUGAAGUUCAAAGAUGCGAGUUUGGUACCUUAUGUAAAUGCAUAUGCGAUGGCUCUACCAUUCAUGAUUCGCAAUUUCUUCAAAGAUGUCAGCAUGGAUACAAGCAAGUUCUCAAUAAAAAUUGUAUCUGAAGGUUUUCCACAGGUAACAUCUUUAUAACUGCUUAUAAAUGUUCAUGUUAGAUUUGUAUCAUAGAUCAAAUAACUUAUAUUAUAAUUUAUCGGCUAUGUUCUUAAGACUAAUAUAUUACUGACAAAUUUUUGUUUCAGGUUCUUAAAAUAGAAGACAGUGGAGUUUAUGCAUUGAAGUUGAUAGAGUGCCAUGCAAUGCGUAUAGGGGAUUUGACAAAGCUGAGUGAAGAAAAAAUUGCAAUCAUCCGAGAAAAGUUGGCGGUUGAUAUCUUCUCGGAAUUGCAAUGAGUACUAAUGUGGGAAUCAACAAAAACUUUAUCACUUUCUUAUAUUUAUGUUUGAACAACUAUCUGAGUAUGUUUUAUGCGUGUUUGGUAAACUUUGUGUUGUAGAAUUCUGAGUAUUCUGAAUAUUAUGAGUUGGAUUUAUGGUUUUGCUUUAAUUUAGAAAGUUUAUAAGCUCUUAUAAAAUCAAAGCAAAAUGGUUUAUUUCAAAAUUUAUAUCUUAGUAGCUUUAUAACACCUUAUUAAAACUGGUUUUUGUUACCUCUUGUAAAAUCAAUUGAGUUUAGGAUAUAUAAAUGCGUAUUUAAAAUUUAUAAAGAUUUAUAAAUCUAUAAAAAUGAAUUUAUAAAGGUCUAUAACUAAUAUAGAAAGGCUUUUAAAUCGGUUUAAACUAUUAAUAACUAUUUUCAAGAGCUCAUCAGUUCAUAAACAAAAAAAUAUUAAGGUUUAUAAAGUCUUAUAAAAUUUAUAAGGUUUAUAGGUUUAAUAAUCAAUUAGAAAGUCUCUUAAAUCAUUUAUAAGAGUCUAUAAUAAUUUAUAAAGACUUAUAAAAACAAUUUAUAAGAGUUUGUAAAAUAAUUUAUAAGGGUUUUAUAAGGUUUAUAAAACUAUUUAAAAGGGUUUAUAAAACUAUUUAUAAGCUAUUUAUAAGAGUUAAUACAUUUAUUUAUAAGUGUUUAUAAUUAAUUUACAAGGUUUAUAAAUCUAUUUAUAAGAGUUAUUCAAAAGAUUAUAAGAAUUUAAUAAUCUUCAUAACCCAAUUUAUAAGAGUUUAGAAAUCAAUUUAGAAGUGAUUAUAAAUCAGUUAGAAGAGUUUGUUUAUAGAUCAUUUAUAAAUUCUUAUAAAAUUUAUAAGUAAAUCUUUAUAAAUUAUAUAUAAAUCCUUAUAAAUAAUUUAUAAACCAUUAUAAAUAAUAUGUAUACAUUUUAUAGAUGAUAUAUAAACCAUUAUAAAUAAUUUAUAACUCUUACAAAUGAUUUAUAAACAACUUUGAAACAACUUCAACUAUAUGCUUGCCUUUGUUCAACAUCACACAACUCACCCUGCAAAAAUAUUCAAACUCCAUAGUUAGACAAAGAAAUGUUUAGCAGGAUCAUGUUACUUUCAGUGAAAUUUUUUUGACCUUCUGCCAUUUGCAGCAUAUGUGAUCUCAGCUCGAGCCGGAAGACCAUUGACAAGCAAUUCAAAUAACCUUAGUCGCCAAAAUCACGUACACUAGUAACUUUGCAAACAGCUAUAAUCUCUUCUUGUAUAUUAGCUAAUUUCCUCCAUCCACAUUCUACUUCAAGAUCACCUCUAACUAUCAUAACUCCUAAAAGGAUUUAAACACUUCAUCUCCAAAGAAGAGGUUCGGGUACAAAUCUAACCUCUGAUCUCACAGUAAGAACAUAUUGAAACUGCUUUGUAGCUCCCAUAAGUUAGUCAUCACAAAAUGUUUAAAAUGUUUAUAAUGGUUUAUAAAUAUUUAUAAAGGUUUUACAAAAUCACUUACAUGUGUUUAUAAAGAUUUUAUAUAGA